rnacentral:lncRNA from 1 species
UUGGACCGUGAGAAGACUUGAGCUUACAUGCUAGACUAGUUGUGCUGUUAUAUGAGGACUUUUGGAUUUAUAUUUAGGUCAAGACAAAGGGAUGAGAAGAAAAAUGAAGAAACCGGUCCAAAUGAAACAGAAACUGUCUCAACCCAUCAUCCAACCAUUAAAUUCGACUAGCCUUUUUAUUAGUGCUUAACAAGCCCAUUUUCACCAAGAAGUAUCAACAAAAUGAGUCAAAGUCGUGCAUGGGAAAGAGGCAUUCAAACUCCAGUCAAAAGUCUCAGUCCACAUUUUGGUUUUCCACAAAAAUUCAAGUCUUUAUUUUCUAUUUUCUAAGUCUUGUUUUUAGAAUUUUCAUUUUUUGAUUUCUACGUAAUGUAAUCCUAUAAAAAAUCCUAAGUAGCCAUGAUUAAAAUCAUUCACCUUUUUAUUAAAAAAAUCUCUUUUAAAUUUGUGAAUCAUUUGUUCUUAUUUGAACACCGUAUUCACUGCUAGGAGGGGAAUCUCUGAAGUCAAACUCGUCUUUGAUCAAGUCUGAAUGGUGACCUACACGAUCUUAGACACUUCUAAGCAACUGAUCGAUCAGUUCAUAGAUCAUCACCCAAGUUCAUUAUCCAUUUCGACAUCUAUCCACAAAUCCAUUUCAUUACCAAAAUCGAUCCAGUCCGAUC